AACAAAACACACGUCCCUCUCUCACGUGACAACACUCGGCAUCCUCUCAAGUUCCAGAGGCUGUUCACGUCUCGUUUGCCCUCUCUGGACAUCAUCAUCAUCAACAACUUCAUUACUCUCAUCAACAUCAUUACCACCAUCAACAUCAUUACCAUCAUCGACAUCAUUACCAUGAUCGUAAAGUUCAUUACCAUCAAUAUCAUUACCACCAUCAACAUCAUUACCAUCAUCGUAAACUUCAUUAACGUCAUCGUCACCACCACCAAUUAUCGUCGAAAUAAUUACCAUCAUCACCGUCAUCCAAAUUCAUCAUCAAUAGAAUCGUAAUUUAAUUUUAUAUCGCGUCAUUCACACAGUAUCCCACAUAUCGUUGCCAUCACCAUCAAUAUCAUCAUCAAUACCGUCAUCAAUACCACCGUCAAUAUCAUCAUCACAAGGUCAACAUGUCUGCCAAUAUAGAAGAUAUUGAUGAAGAAUAUUUCUCCAGGCAGUUGUACGUGCUGGGGCACGAGGCCACGCGGCGGAUACAGGAGACCCAUGUGCUCGUGAGCGGGAUGCAUGGCCUCGGACUGGAGGUCGCUAAGAACGUGGUGCUGGUCGGUGUAGGGAAGGUGACGGUGCACGACACGCAGCCACUCACCAGGAGAGACCUCUCCUCACAGUUUUAUGGACGGGAGAAGGAUCUGCAGAGGAAUCGUGCUCAGCUGUCCCAGUCCCACUUGAAGCAGCUGAACGAGUUUGUGCGCGUGUCGGAUUACAGCGACUCACUCACGGAGGAGUUUCUCUCGCAGUUCCAGGUCGUGGUUCUCACCAACUCCUCCUUGAGUGAGCAGCUUCGUAUUGGGAGCAUCUGUCGCGCCCAUGGCAUCAAAUUCAUCAUCGCGAGCACCCGCGGCCUGUUCGGGCAAAUAUUCUGUGAUUUUGGAGAUGAAUUUGUUGUGGAGGACCCAAGUGGAAAGACUAUCACCUCCACCGUCGCAUCCAUCAGCAAGGAGAGCCCCGGUGUGGUGACGUGUGCGGAGGCUGAGGGCCACGACUUUGAGAACGGGGACCUAGUGGUGUUCUCCGGCGUGCGAGGCAUGACGGAGCUCAACCGUGGCCGACCCCGCACUGUUACGGUCAUCGAUGACAAAUCCAUCAGUGUUGGAGACACCAGCGACUUAUCCGACUAUACCGAAGGAGGGGAAGCGAUCAAGGUUAACAUUCCACAGACCAUCAAGUUUUUGCCUUUGCAAGAAGCUCUGGUGAAGCCCAGGUUUCAGGAGGGAUGUGACCAGACUGUGGCCCCCACCCUGCACAAAGCUUUCCAGGCCCUGCACAGGUUUCAGCAAAAGCAUAACCGUUCGCCACGGCCGCACAACCAGGCUGACGCGGACGAGGUUGUGAAGGAGAGUGCAGGGGUGGAGUUGGGGGUGGACGUGGGGGUGGAGCUCCAGGAGUGGCUGGUGCGACGAUUGGCAUUCACGGCCCAGGGAGACCUGGCUCCACUCAACAGCUUCAUCGGUGGGGUCGCCGCGCAGGAGGUUAUCAAGGCCUGCACGGGCUCCUUCAUGCCGCUCAAUCAGUGGAUGUAUUACUCGGCGGCAAAGUGCCUUCCCGAUGAGGGCACGGGCACCGUGGAUAUGGAGGAGGCCUGCAAACCGACGGACAGCCGCUAUGAUGGCCAAAUCGCUGUGUUUGGAAAGAAAUUCCAGGAAAAACUUGCUUCCCUUAAGUACUUCUUGGUGGGUGCUGGGGCCAUUGGCUGCGAGCUGCUGAAGAACUUUGCGAUGAUGGGACUGGGUGAGGUGACUGUGACCGACAUGGACCACAUUGAGAGAUCCAACCUGCAUCGCCAGUUCCUCUUCCGGCCUGGAGAUGUCAAGAAGCCAAAGUCGGAGGUGGCGGCGCGCGCCGCUAGCGAGAUGAACCCCGAUGUGCGCAUCAACCCGCACAGGCUCAGCGUCGGUCCCGCAUCGGAAUCCGUUUUCGGCCAGAGCUUCUUUGACGAGCUGGACGGCGUGGCGACCGCCCUGGACAAUAUCGAAGCACGAGAGUACGUGGACAGGCAGUGUGUGAAUCACCGCAAACCUCUGCUGGAAAGUGGCACGGAGGGGCUGGAGGGCAGCGUGCAGGUGGUGGUGCCAUUCCUCACGCAGUCCUACGGCUGCGUCGCCAACCCGACAAAGAAAACCAUCCCUUUGUGCAGCGUGCGCAGCAAUCCCAGCACCACCGCGCACACUCUGCAGUGGGCGAAGGAGGAGUUUGAGGAGCUGUUUGCGGUCCAAGUGAAACAUGCCAAGGAAUGCGUCCAAAGUGUGCAGGCUCUUGGGGAGAGGGUACAAUCCCUUUCACUUGGGCAGGCGAGCGGAGGCGACGCCAGCCUGGAGGGGUGUGUGGCCUGGGCUCGGCAUCGCUGGCUACAAUCUUACCACGACCACCGGAUACCGCCGCCGCCGCCAGCGACGACGACGACGCAAACCUCUUCCAGCGUACGCAGCCCCAAGUGUCUGGUGUUCAGCAACACAAAUGCCCUGCACGUGGACUACGUGGCGGCAGCAGUGAAGCUUUACGCUCGUGUGUACGGGUUUCCGGUGCCGACGGACCGGGCCUCUGUGGAGCGGGUUCUGCGGGAGGAUGGAUCGGCGUCAGAGGAGGGGCUUGGUGCUGAGUUGCCAACCCAUGAAUCUCUGGGACAGCUCGGCAUUCAACCACUCGUGUUUGACAAGGAUGAUGAUGAUCACAUGAACUUCAUUGUUGCUGCUUCCAACCUAAGAGCCGAGACAUAUGGAAUCUCCCCAGCGGACAAACACAAGAGCAAGAAGAUCGUCGGCAACAUCAUCCCCGCCAUUGCCACGUGCACGGCGGCCGUGGCGGGGCUGGUAUGCCUGCAGCUGUACGCGGUGGCGCAGGAGCGCGGGAACAAAAGAGAUUUCCACAACGCGUUCGUUGACCUGGGGAGGUGCAAGUUCUCGAUGGUCAAUCCUGCAGGACCCACCGCUCACCAGUAUCUCAAUAAAGAGUGGAAUGUGUGGGAUCGGAUCGAGGUGGAUGGGCGACAGGACAUGACCCUACAGCAGUUCCUGGAUCACAUGAAGGUGAGAUGGCGACACAAAAGAAUGAGGCCAGCGGUGGCCAACCGGCAUCUCCCGAGCCGCACGCGGCUCUUUAGUCCACCGCAUCAUGUGGCUCUAUCGAAGGGGUAUAACGUAGAGCGUACUCCUAUGACAGUAGCAAAGAAUAAUGAAUGUCUCCCGUGCUGUGCCGAAAACUGUCUAUACAUAUACAUACAUGGCUCUUUGCAGAUCUCACGGGGUUGGCUACCCCUGCUGAACUAGGGCGCUUAUAUAAAAAUUAAUGUUGAGUGACAAUUGCGAUCAAUUCUUGGUGGGGGGAGGGGGUGCUUUUUGUUAACGGGGUAUUUGUUUAAAAGAGCGCACACACACGGCUGUCGAGAUCAGUGGCGUGGGCGUGAUUGGCGUGUGGGCCCCGGGUUCACAGAAUGAAAUAGGGCCUUCUGUCCCAAUUUCCCUUCCUCUUCGAAGCUCAGAGCCUGGGCCCUUUCGCCGGCCCUUGGGCCUCGGUGCAGUUAUUUUCUUUUAAACACAAGUUUGCUGAGCACAGGUCCAAAGGUUUAAAAUGCCAAGCAGACAGCAACAAACUGCACUGUCAAAGCUGCAAUAGAUAAAGAGCGGAACGCAUGUUUGAAAUGAGCGAGAUUAUUACGAGAGCUUGUCCGACCUGCUGUGUGGUGGAUGAGUGAGUGGGUGAGUGAACCUGUUGUUCUGACCCGCAUCGUGGUGUUGGUUACAACACCACAUGACAUGAAACGGUCUGUCUGGCAGACCGAGUCUUCAACAUGGGUGAUGGAGGAGGAAUCGACGAGUGAAAGUUCACAGGAACAGUAACCAUGGUCGUAGUAGUAGCGAUAGAAGAGUGAUAAUGAGACGACUUACCGCCGGUGAGCGUAUGACUGGAGUCAAUCAGUAAGUGCUGGAUCAUCAUUCAACUGGAUUAUUUUACGUUAAAUUAUAUCAGGUGCGGUGAGGUAGGAAUUGGGUCCUCCAUCCCAGAUAUGAGAGCAGUUUUCUAACUUUGGCCGAUUUGUGCUUUGUAUAGUGGUAUUAAUUAUUCAGAGUUAAAGGAGACUUUGGCAGACAAGAAAGCCAAAAGUUUAUUCGAUGCUGCCUUAGCCAGAUUAGUAACACAGCCAUUCCAUGACAGGUGACAUGAGAUUGUUGCGCCAAAUAGAUUAAUGACUUUACUAUUAUGGCUAAAAAUAUAAUUGUUACAUAUGAUGGGAGGUAACCGUGGAAUUGGCAGUCUUACGUGAUAUUAUCAUUGUUGUACUGCCUGCAUGCUCAACACCUAUGCCACUGGUUCAGGCUCAAGUCAAAAUCUGUCCGGAGUUUAUCAUGCUUAAACAAAUGGUUACUGGCAAACAUUGGCACAGAGAGGUACACACACUGUACUGGCGGUCUGCUCUCUCACAUUCCUCACCUCCCAGCAUGAGAGAAACUAAUGCUAAACCGAACUAUUUUUUAUUUUACCAGGUAAGGCCUACUGAGCUAUAUAGCUCUUUUUCAGAAAUGUAUAGCAGCCAAAUACUCGAUAAAAGCAUGUUCCUAAAUGUGGAAGGGAAAACCGGAGGACCCGGUGAAAAAUCCACAUGACCACGGGGAGAGAGAGACACGCAAACUCCAAGUAUACAGCAGCCGUUAGGGUCGGGAUCGAACCCACGGCCUCCUGUAUACCAGGCGAGGGAGUUAACAUCUCUUAGCCACCGGGGCGCCCCCAAAGUUCUAGUUCACCGGUCUGUCGAGUGCGCAAAACCACCUCAGUAAUCUGACUUUGAAUGUCCCCUGACAGGCGGAGCACGAGUUGGUGGUGACAAUUAUACUCUGCUCUGGACAGUUGCUUUACCCGCCGUUGAACGAUGAUGACCUCUCAAAACCGCUUUCUCAAAUGCUGCCAAUGCCGGCCGUGCCCGGUGCGAGAUACUUGGAGCUCGUG